rnacentral:rRNA from 1 species
GUACGUAGGGUGCAAGCGUUAAUCGGAAUUAUUGGGCGUAAAGCGCGCGCAGGCGGUCCUUUAAGUCUGAUGUGAAAGCCCACGGCUCAACCGUGGAGGGUCAUUGGAAACUGGGGGACUUGAGUGCAGAAGAGGAAAGUGGAAUUCCAAGUGUAGCGGUGAAAUGCGUAGAGAUUUGGAGGAACACCAGUGGCGAAGGCGACUUUCUGGUCUGUAACUGACGCUGAGGCGCGAAAGCGUGGGGAGCAAACAGGAUUAGAUACCCUGGUAGUCCACGCCGUAAACGAUGAGUGCUAAGUGUUAGGGGGUUUCCGCCCCUUAGUGCUGCAGCUAACGCAUUAAGCACUCCGCCUGGGGAGUACGGUCGCAAGACUGAAACUCAAAUGAAUUGACGGGG